rnacentral:lncRNA from 1 species
UAUUAUGUUUGCUUGGGGAUUUCCCUUGUACCUCAUAAGGAUUUCAAUUAAACCAUAACCAUGACCACCAAGACCUUACCAUUUAAUCAUUUAAAACCAUCCAAACCAAUUAGGAUUCCAUUACCGAUUUAUACCAUGCAAUAGUUUCAUUAAAAGUCCAACUAUGUAAUAAAAGCAUUCUGAUAGGCAUUUUAGCAAACACAUUGGGG